AAGCAACAAUUAGUUGGCUCCAUAUCAAGCUACUCUUGAAAGUCUCCAUGUCAAGAGCAUACUCUUGAAAGGCUCCAUAUCAAGCUACUCUUGAAAGUCUCCAUAUCAAAAGCCUGCUCUUAAAAGGCUCCAUAUCAAGCUACUCUUGAAAGUCUAGCCUGCUCUUAAAAGGCUUCAUAUCAAGCUACUCUUAAAAGGAUCUCGGGGGAUUAAUCGCUAAUCUUCCCUUUUCAACGCAUCGGCAGCCGGUCUUCUCACUUCGUCUCUUCACUUCUGUAGACAAAUCUAAGGAGUAAGUACUGCUUAAUUUACCAGCUCAUUUUUAUCGCAGUCUAUACAUUUCCUGCUUUGAUCUUGCAGAAUUUCUUCUUUAAUUACAUGAGUAAAUUUCGUUUCAUAAGGUUUCCUUUUGAUAUUUUAUAUAUUCGUUGUUUGAUAGAACAUUUCGGUGUGGUUGACUUUUGUUCUGAAUUGGAAAAAAAUGGAGUUUUUGUUUUGUUCAAUGAUCUAAAUCUGAUCUGAGUUAAAAGUUUCCCAGGUCUGUUCUAAAUGAGUGAAAACCAGGACAUCCCUCGCUCAAUUGGGAUUGUUUGGGACGCUGAAAGCGUGUAUGUAGAUGAAGCUUUCCGAAUUCAUCCAACCCAUUAAAUUAUCUAAUUUUUUAUUCAAUCCAUCUUUUCUAUUCGAU
rnacentral:lncRNA from 1 species